rnacentral:lncRNA from 1 species
UUUCGUCGGCUAUACGAUACUUUAGCCGAUGAAAUUUUUUUUCGUCGGCCAAAGUUUUCCUUCGUCGGCCAAAGUUUUUACUCGUCGGCUAAAGUAUUUUAGUAAACGAAAAAAAAUCUCGUCAGCUAUUAUCGAAAAAAGUCGUCGGCUAAAAGAAAAAAAUAAAAUGUUGUAUAACUUGUUUAGUAGGUUUUAAACAAAUACACAACUUUGUGAACCAACUCUACAUAGAAGCAAAAUUAACAAAAAUCUCGUGAAAUAAGAUGUGUUUAGAACGGUGAAAUACGGCUAUGGUUCAAAAAUCAUGUAAAUCAGGUAACGUCUCUCUGAUGUAGAACAGUCGAAACCCGGUAUUAACUAUGCUGCAGAUUUGACAUUUAGCGUCCGAUUAACUAUUGUGAUACCUUUCCGGAAGCGUAACGGCCCUACUAGUCAAACUCAUUGCUAUGCUAUGAUAUUUGGGCCUUUUUGGCCAUCCGAGUCCAUUUAGGGAUUCAAAAUGCAGUUUUCUUAUUUCUAAUUAGAGUUGACCGUUUCGAUCGAGCCCUUAAGUUUGUCGAAUCCAGUUGAAUUUUUUACCAUAGACAUCUUUCGUCAUAAUGAUCAUAUCUGAUGGUCGAAUUUUGGUUUGUGAAUUUUAGUCAUCGGAAUCACAACGUGUCUACUAAUGUUGUAUAACUUGUUUAGUAAGUUAUACAACAUAGAAAGCAAAAUUAUCAAAAAUCUUGUGAAAUAAGAUGUGUUCAGAAUGAUAAAAUACGGCUAUGGUUUAAAAAUCACGUAAACUGGUUAACGUCUCGGUGCCGAUAGUAGCGGGUCAACCCUAUUUACCGUUAUUAUUCCCUCUGGGGAGACCUAUCGUCGGAAGGUAAAUGUCUCAAAAUUUUUGUUAUGGGCAGUUGCGUCUCAUCUACGUGAGAGUUUUUCAUGUGGAAGGUUUGACCAAAAAUAUGUAAUAUAGAGGGAGAUAUGAGC